rnacentral:rRNA from 1 species
AGCCGCGGUAAUACGGAGGGUGCGAGCGUUAUUCGGAAUUACUGGGUUUAAAGGGUGCGUAGGCGGCUAAGUAAGUUGUCAUUGAAAGGCUACAGCUCAACUGUAGUAGUGGUGGCGAUACUGCUUAGCUAAGAACAUGGGAGGGGUACUUGGAAUGUGUGGUGUAGCGGUGAAAUGCGUAGAUAUCACACAGAACACCAGAGGCGAAGGCGGAGUACUAGACCAUAGUUGACGCUGAGGCACGAAAGCGUGGGGAUCAAACAGGAUUAGAUACCCUGGUAGUCCACGCCCUAAACGAUGAUCACUAGAUAUUGGCGACAAACAGUCAGUGUCCAAGCGAAAGUGAUAAGUGAUCCACCUGGGGACUACGGCCGCAAGGUUAAAACUCAAAGGAAUUGACGGGGGCCCGCACAAGCGGAGGAGCAUGUGGUUUAAUUCGAUGGUACGCGAGGAACCUUACCUGGGUUAGAACGUAUGAGCGAUGCAGCUGAAAGGUUGCAGGCCUGCGAAGGAGUUCAUACGAGGUGCAUGGCC